UGCUCACUUUCAACUAGAACGGCUUCCAGCCUCCUACAACGUAGAACAAGUCCCAUUUGAUUCCUUCAGCGCUGUCCUGCAUUCACCACGUGAGGGCAGUAAAGGCCCUUUCUCAUCAGAGUCAUUUUGUUUUCAGAGUUAAUGGUUCUGAAUCCAUCCUGUUCAAGAUGUUUUGGGUUAUUCUGAAAGGAGGAUGCACAGUCUUCUCUUGCAGCUGCUAAACCUCCCUGAGCUGUCACUGGCACCGUGGGAGCGAGGGCAGGGUCACAGGGGUCACAGGCGGACUCACACUUUCUCCACGAUCAGCCUCAUACAUUCGGUAAUUUUCUGCCUUCCAUCCCCAUGGCUCCACGGUUGUCUCGGCCUUCUUGAACUCUGCUUCAAGCAUCUCCUGAUCUCCCGGUUCAUCCCGAUUCAAUUCUAUUUGAUUUCUUGAGAAGAGGGACCAUGUUCAGUAUUUACAAGAGGAGUCCCUCCCACCCCCUCGGCCGUGUCUGCCCCACUCUCUGAUCUCCUUCCAGCACUCCCCGUCUUCUUCAGGCCCCAGAGCUCUUCACUAACAACUUACUGUCUCAGAGAAAAUCUAUUACAGAAACCAUAAGCUCGUGUAGAGCACAGAACAAGAAGACCCAAGGCGAAAGGAAUGAGGAUCACAGGAAGAGGCCUCAGCCUUGAGCCGGAAGAGUUCACGCUCUGAAGCCUCAGCAAGCAGUCAUGCCGGGCGCAGGCAUGAGCCGGUUGGAACAGAAGAUGGGGAGGAGGUGCCAGAAGAUGGGAGUUGAGUUGAUUUAUGUCUGCUGGCCUCGAUUAUCUUGAUGAAUCAGGAGGUGAGAGGGAAUGGUAAUGGAGUAGUUCUGAAGAAAAUCAGACCAGCACAGCCUCAAAAGGAGAGGCAUUUAGGACUCAGCAGAAAGAGGACACCCCUACCCCGCUGGACUUUUAAGCUGAAAGUUCGGUACCCCUUACCCCAACAUGGCAGUAACAUCAUCAACACUUGUUCAUUCUGACUGUCCCUGUUCCCCUCGGUCCUGUGCUCUUCCCCAUCCUGACAGCCAUUCUCUCCGAACAAGUCCACCGCUUGUCUCAUCAUCUGCAGUGAAGCCCAGUCAGUCUUCCUCCUCUGUGUCCCCACCCCCACCACACAGGCAUCUAAGAAACCUCAGCACAUGGCUCCAUGCUAAAAAGUCGUCAGUGACUUCCUUGCCUGUGAGACAGAAGUCAAAUUCCUUUCUUUGAUAAAUAAAGACUGGAUAAAUUGAAAAAUGGCAACAAAAUUUCUCAAUUAUAUAAAUACAUUCUUGCAUAGUGUGGUGGUUUAAAUAAGAAUGU